UUACUGCAGUACUACGACAGGUUACUGCAGUACUACGACAGGUUACUGCAGUACUAGUACACAGAGGACACUAGUUUGCAGGACUGGGGAUGGAUCCCAAACUGAGCAUGAAGGAAACGAACAAAAAGGUGGCGCUGACUCCGUGUCUGUUGAGCGCGGCGUUCUUUGGCGCUCUGGGUUCGUCGUUCCUGUACGGAUAUAAUCUGUCUGUGGUGAACGCGCCGGCUCUG